rnacentral:rRNA from 1 species
GGCCACGGUACCCUAACCGUGCGAAGGUAGCACAAUCACUUGUUCUCUAAAUAAGGACCAGUAUGAACGGCACCACGAAGACUACACUGUCUCCUUUCUGCAAUCAGUGAAACUGAUCUUCCCGUGAAGAAGCGGGAAUUACUAUAUAAGACGAGAAGACCCCAUGAAGCUUCAAAUUAAAUACCAACUGCCACUUACAACACCACCCCAGCUUAGCAGGUUUGACUAUUAAUUUUAGGUUGGGGUGACCACGGAGUAAAAUAAAACCUCCACAAUGAAAGGGACCAGCCCCUUAUUCAAGAACAACAAUUCUAAUAAUCAACAAAUUGACAUAAAUUGACCCAAAUAUUUGAUCAAUGAACCAAGUUACUCUGGGGAUAACAGCGCAAUCCAUUUCAAGAGCCCGCAUCAACAAAUGGGUUUACGACCUCGAUGUUGGAUCAGGGUAUCCUAGUGGUGCAGCCGCUACUAAAGGUUCGUUUGUUCAACGAUUAAAACCCUACGUGAUCUGAUUUCCAAACCGGACCACCUGCUGUUUACCAA